rnacentral:misc_RNA from 1 species
AAGUCGUAACAAGGUUUCCGUAGGUGAACCUGCGGAAGGAUCAUUAGCUUACUGUACGGCCAGUGUGCGGAUUCGAAAGAGUCUUGCGCUGCGCCAUACGACAACCGUGUGAACCGGGAAUGCGAUUUCGCUGCGGUGCUGGAGCCGACGGCUUGUCUGUCGGCACCAGCAUCCAGCCCUAAACCUUUGUAACAAAUGCGCAACCAUACAACAAAAAUGUUAAAUCUUACACAACUUUUAACAAUGGAUCUCUAGGCUCCU